CCCUUGAGUGUGGACCUUGUAGCUGUUGGAGGAUUUAUGGCAGUGUGUUUGUGUUUGGAUGGAAGCUCUUCUGUGUUUUCAGCCCAUGAAAUGCAAUUACUUUCAUCCACAGGGGAUGUUAACGCAGCUCUCUAAUGCUGGCAUGCAGACACUGAAUUAACAGCCGUCCUGACACUCUUACUCUUGGUUUUCUUCGAACAGAGCAUCCAAAAAGGAGAAAAAGGAGGAAAAAAAGCCUAAGCUGCUUUGGUCAUUUCCUACAGUGCUGAAACAACACCAUUUGUUUCCAUCCUGGUGGAAGAAUCCAUCAUGACUGUGUUUUCCGUGACCUGGGCAUCCACUGGCUUUGGAAACAGAUUGACUACUGCUGCCAUUGACAGACCCAGCUACACUUUCCCUGCAGCAGCUGGCAGAGCACAGAAGAAGUAAUGUGACAUCCCUCUUCUGGCUGCUAGAAGAAGCCUGGAACAGCUGAGGCUUUUUCAUCUGUUACCCUGCAUCUAACAACAAGUCCCUGCAGCCUACCCUGUCGCAACUGUUGUUCUGGAACCUGGGCAUUGCGUAAUGUGCUCCAAGCACUGUGGACGUUUUGACUUUGUCCUUCCCCCUGAUCCUACUGGGACAACACCGUCUCUGUGGUCCACGAUCAAGUCUCAAUCUAAAUGAAGGGUCAUGUCACUAGAGCCAAAUAUCUUCUGCCUGUCCAGAUGUAAAGAGUGAAUAACUUCACCCUGGCAGGACUUUCCAAAAGCUGUUAUUUCAGCUCUGUGACAAUUUGCAGCCCACCUCCAGCCUCUCGCCACCACUACCAUGGGUGGUCAUCUCCAAUCAAACCCCGCAGUUACAAGUUUCUCUUCCAUGAAGUCAGUGUCACUCCCCAUCACCACCACCAGGAUCUAGGCUCAGGGAGGGAGGUGUCCUUCGCACUUCAUUUGUCAUUUUAGUUUCCUGAGGUUAUCUACUUCCUGCCAGGGGCUAAGCACCGCAGUUUUUUUCAAUAAGUUCAUUUUAUUUGAAUUAUCUCAUUCUCUUUUAUUUUUUAUAAGCCUCUUCUGACUGAAAUGUCAGUGUGAUUUUCAGUGAGAUUUUCUUACAUCUGGGACAGAACCUGCAAGUUCUGGUUUCACUUUGGUUCUCUAUUUGGCUUCCAUACAAAAAAUAGCCUAAAUACACCUUCAAAUUAACCCCCAAAUCUACAAUGACACAUUAAUGUUUCUGUGGCACCAAAAAUGUACACACACUGUUUUGGUUGCAUUGCAUUACACCCUAAACUUUGCUGUGUUAGAUUUUCUCUAAUGCAAACUAAACCUCUUCUGCUUUUGCUGCUUCACAUUAGCAAAUGCCAGUGAACCGACAAGAUGCAGCAACACACACCAAGUGAUUUGUGCAGCAGAUGUAUCCUGCAGCAGUCAAAAAAAAUGGAAUUUAAUUUUAGCUGAAUUUUAAAUAUUGCAGGGAGGAACAGCACAAACAGUAACAGCCACAGUGAGUUAAAAAGGGCUCCAAGAUGACAGGGUCUUACUGUAGUUUAUGACGAGCACACCUCAUCACUGUCUUCACAUUAUACAGCCUGACCCAUCACUGUCUUCUAAAAAUGAGUUUUAUACAUAAAACUAAUUUGUUUUCCUAAUUAUGGAAUUUAGUCACAGCUUGUCUCACAGGUGUGCUAAGUGACUAUGUAAUUUACUGACAACAAAAUUAUUACAAUGAAAUAGGCGGGAGGAAUGUGUAAAGUCAGUCAUGUAGGGGGUGAACGAGUCAGUACACACAUAGAAACACAAAGUGUUUAUGUACUCAUCCUUCUGAGUUAUUUCUGAGAGAUUCUAGGCUGGAAAUGUUUUGUUUGGAAGGUGCAUGUUGACCUCGGAUAAUUAACAGACUGU